GAUGAACGCUGGCGGCGUGCCUAAUACAUGCAAGUCGAGCGAACAGAUGAGGAGCUUGCUCCUCUGACGUUAGCGGCGGACGGGUGAGUAACACGUGGAUAACCUACCUAUAAGACUGGGAUAACUUCGGGAAACCGGAGCUAAUACCGGAUAAUAUAUUGAACCGCAUGGUUCAAUAGUGAAAGACGGUUUUGCUGUCACUUAUAGAUGGAUCCGCGCCGCAUUAGCUAGUUGGUAAGGUAACGGCUUACCAAGGCAACGAUGCGUAGCCGACCUGAGAGGGUGAUCGGCCACACUGGAACUGAGGCACGGUCCAGACUCCUACGGGAGGCAGCAGUAGGGAAUCUUCCGCAAUGGGCGAAAGCCUGACGGAGCAACGCCGCAUGAGUGAUGAAGGUCUUCGGAUCGUAAAACUCUGUUAUUAGGGAAGAACAAAUGUGUAAGUAACUAUGCACGUCUUGACGGUACCUAAUCAGAAAGCCACGGCUAACUACGU
rnacentral:rRNA from 1 species